GAUCAUGGCUCAGGACGAACGCUGGCGGCGUGCUUAACACAUGCAAGUCGAACGGGGCAUAGAGAUAUGCCUAGUGGCGGACGGGUGAGUAACACGUGAGCAACCUAUCCUAUACAACGGGAUAACACAGAGAAAUUUGUGCUAAUACGGUAUAAGACCACACUCCGGCAUCGGAGAGGGGUAAAAGCUGAGGCGGUAUAGGAGGGGCUCGCGGCCCAUUAGCUAGUUGGAGAGGUAACGG
rnacentral:rRNA from 1 species